GAUGAACGCUGGCGGCGUGCCUAAUGCAUGCAAGUCGAACGGGGAAUAUUACUUCGGUUUUAUUCUUAGUGGCGAACGGGUGAGUAACACGUAAGCAACCUGCCCUCGAGUGGGGGACAACUCCGAGAAAUUGGUGCUAAUACCGCAUAAUGUGUAGGGGUAAGGCCCGAACACCAAAGCCUUCGGGCGCUCGAGGAGGGGCUUGCGGCCUAUCAGGUAGUUGGUGAGGUAACGGCCCACCAAGCCUUUGACGGGUAGCUGGUUUGAGAGGAUGAUCAGCCACAUUGGGACUGAGACACGGCCCAGACUCCUACGGGUGGCAG
rnacentral:rRNA from 1 species